rnacentral:rRNA from 1 species
AUUGAACGCUGGCGGCAUGCCUAACACAUGCAAGUCGAACGGCAGCACGGGAGCUUGCUCCUGGUGGCGAGUGGCGGACGGGUGAGUAAUGCAUAGGAAUCUGCCCAGUAGCGGGGGACAACUUGGGGAAACUCAAGCUAAUACCGCAUACGCCCUACGGGGAAAGCGGGGACCUUCGGGCCUCGCACUAUUGGAUGAGCCUAUGUCAGAUUAGCUUGUUGGUGGGGUAAGUGGCCUACCAAGGCAACGAUCUCUAGCUGGUCUGAGAGGACGAUCAGCCACACUGGGACUGAGACACGGCCCAGACUCCUACGGGAGGCAGCAGUGGGGAAUAUUGGACAAUGGGCGAAAGCCUGAUCCAGCAAUGCCGCGUGUGUGAAGAAGGCCUGAGGGUUGUAAAGCACUUUCAAUCGUGAAGAAAAGUUGCAGGCUAAUACCCUGUGACCUUGACGUUAACGAUACAAGAAGCACCGGCUAACUCCG